rnacentral:lncRNA from 1 species
CUCUCUGGGCCCUUCCCCCAUCUUUAUAAACCAGUGGUGAAAUUCAGACAUCCUUCCCUGUUAUCACUUCUUAUCUACAGGCUCACAACCAUGCAAAGGAGACACAUCCAGACCCCGCAGACUUAAGCUCCAAGGGACCCAAAAGCCUGGGGUCGCUUCAUGUUGGAUGCAUGUGCAGACCUGAUUCAGGCACCACACAAAUGCAGCAGGCAGAAAUGAGUUUAUUGCAUUAGAAAAAACACCGAAGAAAACCAGCAAACACCUCCGUACUAGACAGUUAUUAGUUUGACUCAAGGGCAUAAAGAAAACUCAGAUACUAGAUUUACUUCUGGGAGGGGGUGAUGGUCUCAUCCCUCCUCCUUCCCUAUCCCUUUAAACCAAUGGACCUCUAGAGGUGUCCACUGUGCAAUACAAGUACGUGACUCAUUUCCCACUGUGCUUGCCUGUUCACAUCCAGGCGGAGUUAGCCGGCCACAAUGAGAAUGCUCCUGAGGUGCUGGGACAGACAGAAAUAUGAGGAUGGGGGUAGGCAGUUGAAGCCUGAGCCUGAGUUUACAGUUAGUGACAGUGGGGCUCCCAUUGGGAGGGAGAGCUUGCCUUCCCAUGGAGCUCUGGGAAAACUGCUCAGUGAUCCCUCGCUCUCUCCCCACAAACCCUAGGGCACAGGCAAUGGCACAAAUGGCUGCUAGUAUAAAGGGGGGUGCUGUUCAAGGAAAUGAGUGACUCAAAUUCUCUCAGGGGAGCUGCUCCUGGGCCUAAGGGUGCCUGCUGGAAGAAGCAAACCAGCUGAAACUGGAUCUGGAAGAGGAGAAAGGAAAAAAAGGAGCUGUGAUGCCCAGAACCCCCUGGAUGGAGGGGAGACCCCAGGCAGAGGGGUCUGGAGCAGGACCCUGGAAGACAGAGCCGGGCCAGGCAAGCUGGAAAAGGGAACAACACUGGUGGGAAACAGAGCACUGGCCAAGACCAACCUGCUACCCUCCCAGAAGAAACCCAGCCUCAGAAAUUCUUUCUCUUUGGGCCCAAUUCUGCUAGUAGAUCACGAUUAUACAACAGUCCCUGCUAGUUUCUGCUCUAAUCUAUUAUUUCCAUGCACACUGGCAAAUCAGUGGGUCUUGAGAAGAAUUAAACUUUCAAUCAUUUGGCCUCUACAAGUUCCCAAAUGUCACUUGACAUCCCAGCUGGUCAUGCCCCUGGUCAGGUCGCAGGCAAACACUAAGGCAGAAUGACAGCUCCUCUAGCUGAGACUCUGAUGAUGCCAAACUGUGAUGGCUGAUGGCAAAGAUAGCAGCAGAUGGGGCCAGAAAUGAGCAGCAGCUUUUUGGAGAGGAAAGGCCUGUGCUGCAGGCCAGACUUCCAGGAAGAAGCAACAUAAUUCAAGUCCGUGAAGUGGCAAGAAGUUGUGGCAGAAGGGGCCCAAGGAUGUCAGACCUGAGACUCGGGUACCUGGCAGCUCUGAGUCCCUUCUUCAUGCUCACUUUCCCAAAAUCUAACUAAUGGAGGUUCAUGUGAAGAGAGGGAAUCUGAAAGUCUCUCUGGAUUAGAGACUCCCAGACUGUUCCCUGCCUAUAACCUCCUAGCAGCAAGUCAUUAGGAAAAUGCCCACUCAUGCCCCAACCUGCCUUUCUAAAGUCAGAAUGACAAUGGAAAUAACGUGUGCCUUCAAAACACAUUUAGGAUAAGGGAAAGUCCCUAUCAGAAACGAUUCUAAAUUUUCUUGCCACCUUGAUUCCACUUCAUUAUUUUAUUUUUUUGAGAUGGAGUCUCACUCUGUCGCCCAGGCUGGAGUGCACUGGUACGAUCUCGGCUCAUCGCAAUCUCUGCCUCCCGGGUUUCUGUGAGCCGAGAUCAUGCCACUGCACACCAGCCUGGGUGGUAGAGCGAGACUCCGUCUCAAAAAAUAAUAAUAAUUAAAAUAAAGGUAUUUUCUUAGAGUAGGGAAUCCCAUCCCUUGGUCCCCAGCUAAAUACUGCGUACUGGCCUGGAUGGUGGUUACAGAGACUGCAAAUAACCUACAUCAUUACUUGCAGAAAAAAGGCCUUGGCUUCUACUGCUCCAGCCCAGACCUCAUCCACUAUGACAAGUCAGCUAUGCUGAGGAAAGGCAGCCUCGGGGGCACAAAGGCAGGUUUCCCAAAAUUGAUGGCAGAAGAUUGGCAAUCCAUCUAGGUGGAAGGAGGAAUGGCUUUAUCCUGUUUUCUCCGGCCUGAUACUUGCUGUUACUCCCUUGAUCCGGAGGCAAUGGCUGCUCCAGCACUGGCCUUGCUUGGGGUAAGGGAGGGAAGGUGAGGGUUGUGGCUAAAGAGUUCACUUAGGUUAGGUUAGUCAUCCUGAAACCGGUCCCAUGUACACCAAAUCCUUUGGUUCAUUUAACACUAGAGUAACUUUCUGGGUCACGGAUGUUCUAAAACUCACCUGGGUCCCACAGGUGUUGGCAACUUGGGUAGAGCGUGAGUGUUCUCUGGAAAGAGUUCUAGGUUGGGGCUCCCGCAAACUGUGACUCGCUUUCUGUUUAAACAAAGCCCCUCCCUUUCUCCAGUGUGGAGGACGCUUAGGAAACAGCAUCCGAAGUGAACGCACAGACAAGACAGCCUUAAUAAAUUAGUAUAAUACUAUUAGAAGGGGUGGCAUUUUGUUCUGUUUCUUAGCAGCAUUGUCUACAUGCGGCCUGACGGUCUCCUUCCCUGGGAAAUUUAAAAAGCCGUCCCCUGGUUGUUAGCUCUGAUGUAAAAUUAUAAAAUAGAAAUCUGGUAGGGUUUGUUUUGUUUAAAAAGGAAAAGCCCUGGUGAGGCAGGGCGGUCCCAGGCAGUCCUGUUAGCUCUGGCCGUUGGGUCUGCCCACGGAGCUCCCUCCUGGAGGCUGGAUCUGAAUGGAGUCCAGGAGGGGCCGAAGUGCCUGUCCAAAGGGCCUGCAAGGAAACAGAGACAUGAGAGGGGUGGGCUCUGGGAUG